AACGAACGCUGGCGGCAUGCCUAACACAUGCAAGUCGAACGAGAUCUUCGGGUCUAGUGGCGCACGGGUGCGUAACGCGUGGGAAUCUGCCCUUUGGUUCGGAAUAAUAGUUGGAAACGACUGCUAAUACCGGAUGAUGACGAAAGUCCAAAGAUUUAUCGCCAGAGGAUGAGCCCGCGUAGGAUUAGCUAGUUGGUGUGGUAAAGGCGCACCAAGGCGACGAUCCUUAGCUGGUCUGAGAGGAUGAUCAGCCACACUGGGACUGAGACACGGCCCAGGCUCCUACGGGAGGCAGCAGUGGGGAAUAUUGGACAAUGGGCGAAAGCCUGAUCCAGCAAUGCCGCGUGAGUGAUGAAGGCCUUAGGGUUGUAAAGCUCUUUUACCCGGGAUGAUAAUGACAGUACCGGGAGAAUAAGCUCCGGCUAACUCCUUGCCAGCCGCCGCAGUAA
rnacentral:rRNA from 1 species